GGAGUAUUGGUGGAAACCCAUUGAGACUGGGUUGUGGAGAGAAUAUGAUGUGUUCUUCAGAUGAUGCAGACGAGAAUUGGGGCUUUACAGGGAGCUGUUGAUAGGAUAAAAGCAAAAAUUGUUGAACCAUACAAUAAGAUAGUUGCCCGGACUGCACAACUAGCAAGACUUCAGGUUGCCUGUGAUUUGCUUCGGAGGAUUAUUCGUAUCUUGAAUCUCAGUAAGAGACUCCAAGGACAACUGCAAGGGGGAAGUAGAGAGAUAACAAAAGCUGCUCAGAGUCUCAAUGAACUUGAUUAUCUUUCUCAAGGAAUAGAUCUUUCUGGAAUAGAAGUGAUAGAAAAUGAUCUACUUUUUAUUGCAAGAGCCCGACUUGAAGUGGAAAAUCAAGCUAAGCGCCUACUAGAGCAGGGUUUGGAGACUCAGAAUCCAACUCAAGUCGGAACAGCUCUUCAGGUUUUCUAUAAUCUUGGAACUUUGAAGGAUACUAUUACCAGUGUUGUGGAUGGAUAUUGUGCUACUUUAGAAGAAAAUAUCAACAGUGCAUUAGACAUAAAAGUUUUGACUCAGCCUUCCCAGUCAGCUGUGAGAGG
rnacentral:lncRNA from 1 species